GUUUUGAUCCAUCACCAGCUCGGGCCUGAUUUUAGGCAGCUUAUAUGAGUUUUUUCGGUUAACGUUGAAAGAGGUUUAGGAAGUUGCGGAGGUCUUGAUUAGAUGAGGAUUAAUUAGGUGAGUUUUAGAGACUAAUCAGGUUUUUAGAGCGAGCUUAAAGUUUCCCCUUCUUCCUUCGUUUUGAGUUUUGAAGAAGCAGUUAAAUUUUAGUUUUCUUUAUAGAUAGUUUAGGGGUAAAAUAAAAACCAAAAAAAAAAAUGUAAUUUUGUAGCAAUUUAAACAGUUUUGCUGUUUAUUAAUUGUACCUUGGUUUCUUUUAUUAGAGUUUAUUUUUUCCCUC